rnacentral:rRNA from 1 species
GACGGAGGGUGCAAACGUUGUUCGGAAUUACUGGGCGUAAAGCGCGCGUAGGCGGCUCUGCAAGUCUGACGUGAAAUCCCACGGCUCAACCGUGGAAGUGCGCUCGAAACUGCGUAGCUAGAGUCCUGGAGAGGAAGGUGGAAUGCUUGGUGUAGAGGUGAAAUUCGUAGAUAUCAAGCGGAACACCGGUGGCGAAGGCGGCCUUCUGGACAGUGACUGACGCUGAGACGCGAAAGCGUGGGGAGCAAACAGG